rnacentral:lncRNA from 1 species
GAGCCUUUAGUUCGUUAUCGCGUUUCAAGUUUUAAGAAAAUGCUUGAAAAGUUUGCUUUUAUUAAUUAAAAAUCAUGUAUCAUAGAUUCCCAAACAAUACUAUUCACAUAGUUAUUAACAAUAAUAAAUAUUAAACAAAAGAAUCCAAAAGAAACUCAGAUACAAUUUCUAUCCCUCUGUAUAAAAUAGAAUCUUAAAUAACAAAGGCGAGGGAAUUCUAUGAAAACAACUCAACACGUAAACUCAACUUAAAUAAAACUCAUAAUCACCCGCAGCUUCAAACCGAGUCUCCGAACCUGUGUCAAUGAAAUGGUGAAAGAUUUUGGGGUGAGAACAAACCACGCGUUCUCAUUAGGGAAUGGAAAUGCCGUAAGAGUAAUGAAAUAAAAUGCAAAUAAUUAACUUUACUCAUUAAAACUAUAUUUUUAUCAAACCUUUUGAAAAUACUUUUUACUAUUACUUUGUAUAAUUAAUUACUUUCUUUAAAUUUUCAAACUUAAGACAAAUCCCCAUCACAACCUAAUAGCACAGGAAACAAUCAACACACAACUAAAUAGCAAUACAACAAACAGCACAAUCACAAAGAGACAAGAUAAGCAAGCACAAUCAAAUGCAAAGGUGCAAACAAGGAUGAUGUAUGUCUAGUUCUAUCGCUGGUAAUGAGCUCAUUUGUCGGUUUCGACCCACACCCGACGCAAUCCGACUCGCAAGUCAGAUAAGGCAUUCCAGCGGCAUAACCUCUGCAAGUUUCUACUUCUUGCAGGCGCUGAUUCUCCAGCCGAAGUAUGCCAAACAUGACCUCUGCAAGUACUUGCAGACGCUGAGUCUCCAGCUGAAGCAUGUGCCACUUUCUCCUGGAAGCCAUUCCAUACACACGGGCGUCCCCACACAAUCAUUCACAUGUAAAGCCCACAGCUUAACAUUUUUCCAUCGGCACCAUAACCAUUUACUUUCCGUCACCCUCUCGUGACCUUUUAAACAUUUCAUAAUCACACGUGCCAUGUUCUUUUCUCAUUCUUUCUCUUUUUUAAUAAUUCGAAUUCAUAUCAUAACUUAAAACAAAAUCUCUUCUCAAAAGAGUGAAUUUAAAAGAUUAUACUUUUCUCAAUAAAUCGGAUUGAAAAUAACUCUUUCCGUAAUAAUUCAAAAUCAAACAAUAUUCAUAAAUCAGAUUGGCUUUUAAAUAACGUCUUAAACAAAGUCUUGGAGUUUUAUAAAAAUUUCGGCAGCAUUUCCUCUAAAAUUCGGACUAUGCCACCCAUUCAGGGUUCCAACCAAACCAUUUCUAAUUCUCAGAAAACAUUUUUGAUAAUUCAAACGAAUCAAAUUCAGUACUAAAAACCUAUUUUCAAUUCUCACAGGUUACUUCCGAUAAACCAGCAGGUCAAGUCCAAUAUCCAAAAUAUUUAUAAAUCUGAAAAUCCAACUAGUUUCAAUGUCAAAAUCUUUUCUAACUCUCAAUUUAUUACUAAUAAAAUAAAUUUUCAAUACAAAAUCCGUUUCUCAAUAUGAGUAAAUAUGUAAAUAAAAUGUUGUCCAUUAUAAAAUCAUGUUUCAAAAUAAAUUUAUAAAUCAAAUUUUCGAAAUAAAACCACGUUUUCGGUUACUUUUACAUAAAAUUGGGUAGAAUCUCCUCUUAAAAAUUGGACUUCACCACCCAUGCGGGCUCCCUCAAAUUCAUCACUUUCCAAACUAAACUCAAAUCCAACUCCAUUCAACAGUUAUCAAUACGACAAUUUCUUCAAUAAUUAACUCAUCAUAUUACAAUUUAACAAGUAACACUAAUUUAAUCAUCUUUUACAGCCACAACUCAACCAAUUCAUCAUAAUCACACAAAAUCAGAAUUUCAAUAACAACUCCAUCAAAAUCAGAAAACCAAUAUCAAUCACAAAACCAAUAUCAAUCACACCUUCAAUUCAAACUCAUCAUUCAGUCAUUCCAAGCAAUCAUAAAUUAUUUGCAAAUAUUCACUAGACUUUCAUGGCAUUCAUAAUUUAAAAUAGUUAAUUUCAAAAUAAAAUCCCCUACCCUUAUAUGAAAUCAAAAUCAUCGAAAAUUCCGAAGAAGCUUUUUGACCGAGUUGUUGAAGGAGAAAGCGUUGUGCUUUCUAGAACUUCAGUUAGCCGGACUCAAAGAGAAGAAGAGCUACGUCAUCAUCGUCAUUUUUUACUGGACAAAAAUAACACCAACGUGUAGAGGAUAAGGAUACAAACACUUUUAUCGGAUUAAAUUUUUUAUUGGAAUUAUGGAUCACAAGAAAUUGGAGUUAGAGACAUGGAGGUUCCAUGGUUUCUCUCCUUCACUCUCGGUCACUCUUGCUUUCUUUUCUUUCACGUUUGGUUCAGUUUCCAGAGAGGAAAAUGAAGAUUAGG